rnacentral:tRNA from 1 species
CAUCAGAUAACUAAAUUGAAUAAGUAUUGGUCUCUUAAACCACUAAUAGUAAUUAUACUUCUAAUGA